UAUUACUUCAGAAAUUUGAUUUAUGGAUAGUGGACAGGAAGGGGACUUGUAACACUCCUAACCUGUAUUCGUCGUCGAAUUAGGGUUAAGAGGUAUUACUAAUCAAAACACAACUUAGAAUAGACAUUCGUUAAAGUUCAAAAUUUUUAACAGUUACAUAUGAUAAACUAGGUCUAAUAUUAAACAUGCAAAAUUCUAAGUUUUUCUUUUGACCAUUUAAAACAGAACAAAGACAUUACAAUCCAACUAAUCCAUAAGAAAAAUAAGCCAUUUUUGUAUGGCUAUUAAUCUCAUAUACAAUCUAUAUAUUGAAGUACGAUCUUCAAAACAUUAUCUAACCUGUACAUGCCAUAAAUUAAAAAUUUAAACAUUUUAAUACCGAGACAGUAGAUAGAGUGAUGAUCUUGCUGACAAUCCCCGAGCCUGAAGCUUGAUCUUUAAGUCUAUAAAACAGAAAGACAUAAACAAACAAAGUAAGCUUUUAUAGCUUAGUAAUUCUAUUGCAUAACUAAAUAUAUAUAUAGAAAUAAUAUAACUUUUUAAUUUAAUUUACUAAGAUUGCAAUUUACACAUAUAAUUAAUAUUUAUACAUUUACUGUACUUAGACCAUUUUAUUUAUAGUCAAAUAUAUGUACCUGUCGAAAUGCGUUCAAUUGAAUAUAUAUUUAUACCAAACGACAUUACAACCAAAUGAAUAUAACAGAGCAUAUAUGUAUGUUAUACACAUAUCAUAUCCGACUGUGUAUGUAUACUCAUAAUAAACUUAUAACCAAAUGCAAAUCUAAUACAUGUGAUCGAAUGCAUUCAUCUCCAUCAAAUAAUUAUAAACAGAGGUAUAUACAUUUCAAAUGCAUAUGUAGAUGCUUAUCAAAUACAUAUACUGAAUAUUUAUACGUAUACAUUUAUCAACUGUAUAAAUCGAAAGCAUGUAUGUAUAUUUUACAAAUGCAUAGACCGAAUAUGUACAUAUUCAUUAAACACUCUUAGUCGAAGGUAUAUAUGCUCAUCAAUUAAAGAUAACCAAAAUCAUAUAAUUGUACACUUAAUCACAUACUUUAAAAAGAUUCACCGGCACUUAGUUGCUAGACAUAUAAUCUGAAAUGUUUCAUCGGCAUUAAGCCUAUUAGACGUAAAGUCUGAUAUUGUUUCACUGGCAAUAAGCCUACUAGAUGUAAAGUCUGAAAUUAUUUCACCGACCUUAAGCCUACUAUAUGUAAAGUCUGAUAUUGUUUCACUGGCAAUAAGCCUGCUAGGCGCUAAGCCUGAAAUCUCAAUUUCACAUACACAAAAUAAUUCCUUGAAAAAUUCUUAAUAGCAAAAACAUGUUCGUUGUAGUCCAUGUUCAAUCAUAAAAGAGGUUACAAAUCAUACUUUCAAUUUAGUUCAAGUAUUUACAAAUUUAUAAACAUAUAUAUAUAAUCUAACCUCACAUAUAAAAAUAUAAGAUUUUAUAACCUCACAUAUAAAAAUAUAAGAUUUUAUAUCUUUAAUUCAAUCCAAGAACCUAUAAACGAAUAUACAUAUAGAUAUAUUCGAACUCCCAUGUACGUAUUUAACAUUUAUACCUUUAGCUAAAAUCAUAAACUCAUACAUGUAUAUAUAUACACAUUCUUGUCUUUAUCUAAGUUCAUAAUUUAUUGAUGUAUAUAUACACAUAUAUAAUUACUUAACUAAAUUCAAUACAAGAAAUUUACAUGUAUAUAUACACGCUUAUUCGAAAAUAACAUAUAUAUAUAUUUAAUUUCAUACCUAAUAUCAAUAUAAAAACAUAUACAUGUAUAUUCAUACAUAUUCAAAAAUCCACAUGCAUACUUAACAUUCAUACCUUAAAAUAUAUUCAAGAUUUGUUCAAGUAUUUUCAUAUACAUUCCAACCCACAUAUAAAUACUUAUUCGAAAUUACCUAUACAAUUACAAUAUACAUACCUUUAAUUAAUCCAAGAAUUUAUACAUGUAUAUACAUAUAUAUAUUCGAACCUUCUGUAUACAUAUAUAACCCUCACACAAUCAACUAAAUUCAAGAACAUAUACAUAUAGAUACAUAUAUAAAUAUUCGAACAUUAUAUAUAUAUACCAUUCCUACUUUAACUUAAUUCAAAGAUUUAUAUAAGUAUAUACCUAUAUAUUUGAACAUUGUAUGUACAUAUAUACCAUUUAUACUUCAAUUUAUUCAAUCAAAUUAUUUUUAUUUAUAGCUCAACAAAAAUACAAUAGAUAUACAUACAUACAUACUGAUUUAAUAACAUUAAAUAGUUAAUAGACUUACCUCAGACAGUGUAAAAUCGAAACCGAACGAUUAGUCGAUGACUUUAGCUUUUCCCCGAUCCAACUCCAAUUUCUUUGGUUCUUGAUCUAAAUAUAUUCAAAAUGAACUAUUUUAAUUAUUAUUUCAUUCAAUUUAGUCCAAAAACACAUAAAUGGGAAAAUUACCAUUUUGCCCCUAACAUUUACACUUUUUGCAAUUUAGUCCCUAUUACAUAAAACACAAAAUACACAAAAUUUGUACACACUAUACAAGGGCCGAAUGUUCCUAGUGCUCAUAAAAGUCCACACAUUUCAUUUAUUUCACAUUUUAGUCCCUCAAAAAUUUAAUUUCACAAUUUAGCCCUAAUUACUCAAUUUCACCAACAAUUCAAAGACAAAGCAUGUUAAUCUUUCACAUAUCUUUCAUAUUUCAUCAUUAACUAACAAAAAGCUCAAGCAUUCAUCAAUGACAUAACACAAAAUCAACAUCAAAUUCUAAAAUUAAAGCAUGGGUCUUGUAGUGCACAAAGCAACGAUCUCAAAAACAUAAAAAUUUUCAAAAAACCGAACAAAAACGAACCUUAAAUCAAGCUUCCUAAUGGCCGAACCCUAGCUUGGAUGUUUCUUUCUUUUCUUUUCUCAAUGUCGGCUUGGAGAAGAUGAUAGCUAGCUUAAUUUUAUGUAUUUUAAUUAAUAUAUAAUAUAAUAUAAGGCUAUUUACUUAAUUAACCUUACUUAUUAAAUAUAUAAUAUAUAAACAUUAAGUUUAGUCUUGUCCGUAACCAUCAACUAUCUAUAUAGCGGUUUAAUUGCACUUUUAAGCCUCCUAAUUAAAAAUACAACAACAAAUAGAUACUUUUAAAUUAAAUCCCUAAGUUUUUAUUUUACGUGAUUAAGCCCUUUUUAUCAAAUUGAGCAUUCAAACAUGCUCAAACAAUCAAAUUUUUAUACGAAAUUUUCACACAUAGUAAUUCACAUACUGCAAAUACCAUAAAUAAUUUUAAAAUAUUUUUCUGACUCAGAUUUUUGGUCCCGAACCACUUUGCCCGAUUAGGGUCAAAAUCGGGCUGUUACAGGACUGAGAAUCAAAUUGCAGAUCACCAAUCCAAAAUUGAAAACCAUUUACAAGAAGAGAAAAUUGAAGACACUAAGGAGACCUUUGCGAUGAUAAAUUAUUUAGAGUAGACAUUAAUCAAUCAAGACCAAGUAGGCAUCUAACACCAUGCAACAUGGUAUGCAGAUUAUGUUAUUUACAUUGCAAUGAUGGUAUUCACAACAUAGGCAUCUUGGAAACAAAAAAAAUGGAUAGCCCAUGAAUAAAAAAUUACAUUUUGAAGGAUCCAUAAAUAACACCCUAUAGCCUGGGUCGUCGAGCCCGAGUUCUAGGAUACAAGCAUCUUUAUUUUCUUUUGUUACCAUAGCAAUCAUGCGAUAUUAAGACAUGCAAACUCAAAUUAAUGUUUAACCAUGCUAACAUACGACAAACAAACAUAAAAUGGACAUAAAUCGAGUCGUGGGACCACUUAGCAAAUUUUCCAAAAACUGUUGCAUAGGUAUCAAUACUAAAGGAGUGGUAUCAAUAUUUUCUUUAAGUGGUAUUAAUACCACAUGAAAAAUCGAUACCAAACAUACAUUCUGUUUCUCACCAAAAUUCCCAAACAUCGAAAACUAUCGGUACCUUUCGCAAAGUAUCGAUAAAUUAUCUCAAGUAUUGAUACUCGAGCCAAGGUAUUGAUACCAAAUUUAUAUUUUGUUUUGUUGCACUUUCAAAAUUAACGAGGUAUCAUUUUAAUAAUCCAAUUAUCGAUACCUCUGCUCCAGACUGCCAAAUUUUAGCAUAUAUCAGCAAUUAGAUCAUUUAAACUCAUCCCUAAAUAACAUGCUUUAUUCACCAAAAUAAAUAAGCUUCAGAACAUCCAAACAACAGUCCAAAUAUCAUAUUAAAAUCCACAUGCUUCCAAACAUAAAUAACAUGCAAAUAUCCCCAAAAUGACUUAACAAAACUAAUAUAAAGUCUACCAUAUUGCCUUAAAGUCCCAUAUUAAAAAUAAAUCAAUUACACCUACUAUAGUAACUAAAAGAAUGGCUUGGGUAAAUCCCUCGACGGCCACACCGCUCACACCGGGAAUGCGACUACUCUACAAAGGUUAAGAUGGAGUGGGUGAACUUAACAAGCUCAGCGAAUGCUCAGAACAACCACUACGCAUGGCAUCUCUAAUUCUAUAUCAAAAUAUAUACGUUUCAUUAUUUUUCAAGUAUUAUUUUACUUAUUGAUUACAAGAAUAUUUAGGCAUAUAUAAUAUCACACAUAUUAGAUACAUUUAAUGAUAGUUUGGCUCUUGAGAUUAUUAAACAUGAAGUGGACUUAAUCACCACUCAUCAGAUACACGAAUCUCCAACACACCACAUAAACUCGUAGAGUCAAACAUAUCGCAGAAGUGAAGCAUAUAGCUAGCACUUUCCAACACACCAAACACGCAUAUAUCAUUUAAUGGAACUUAGCUCACAUUCUCUUAUCUCGUCGAAAACUAUCCCAGGCCUCAACGCCCCAAAUAUCACAUCACAAAGGUAAGUACUCACAAUCCUAUGGUAUGCCAACUAUAUCUAAUGGUCUCAAGGUUCACAAGGCCAAAAUAUCCACACUAUCAACACAAAUUUACAUACCGAUUUCAGCACAUGUUCACUGCAUAUACAUAUCAUUAGCACAUUAUAACCAGUGUCACAUAUUAUGAAAGCAUACCUACAUAUCUAUUGUCAUAUGGCAUGAAUUACAUAUCCACAUAUUCACUUUCACAACAAUCAUCACAAUCUUACAACACAUAUCAUAUUAUCUCAUACAUGUUCGUAUUUUAACAAUUGCACAAACACACAUCUAUCACAUUAUAUCAUAGGUGUGAGAACACUUACACUCAGGAUUUAGAGUAGGAAUUUAGGAUACAUCUAAAUUCUGAAUUACACAUUGAAUCAUCUACAAGAACCGAAUUCUAAAACACUUACCAAAAAUACGUCUUCACCAAAAAGCUGAUAGCUCAGACAAGCUUUUCUUCGCCUUUUUCUCUACUCGUUGAAGGUCCUAUUGAAUCUGACGCUUCAACAAUAAAAAACCACAUAGAUAUUCAAUCAACAAUUAGUCAAUAACUCACCUAAAACAAUCACAAACAUAAGCCUAAGAUGCGUUCUCUUCUAACCAAAACCUUCGACAUAGAAAAAUUAAAAUUCAAAUAACUCAAUCUAAACUUAAUAUUUUCACAGGAAAUGAAUUCCAUUCAUCUACAUAUUCAUCUACGACUAAUUCUCAACCUUUAAACUAUACAAAAUUAUAGGUUUCAAGGUAUUGAAAUUUUUCGACAAGUUUGCCCAUUAUAAUAAAAAUUCAUUAAAACUCAAUAAACUCUUAACGAAACUUCAAAGUAACCUUAUAAACCUUUUAAUUAUGUUAAAAGAAGUUGAAAAACACUUUAAAACCAAGUUUUAAUCCACAAACCCGAAAUCCACCAUUAAUGACCCAAUUUUUAGCUUUUAUUUAAAACAUGUAGUUUCAUAACUAAAAACUCAAUUUUAAAGGGUAGAUAACAUUAAAAACUAACAGGAAAGUGAAUGGUUACCUUUGAUGGAAGCUUAAACGAGUUUUCAACGCAAAUUAAAAAACCUACAAGUGAAGAUGAUGAUGAAAUCUAUGGAAUUUUAGGGUGCUUUCUUGAAUAUUUAUUAAGUAAUUGACUUGGGGAUGAUGGAAAUCAAAUGAGUAUGAUAUGAGAAUCAAAAUUGAAGAGUUAGGGCUUUGGGAGAGUGAGGGACGACAACACUAUGGAGAAGGAGAAAGUUAUCGUGAAAAUAAGCUAGGAAUGUGGGGUUUUAGGUUCUAUUUUUAAAAUUUGGUCUAUUUGCCCCUUAAAAGCUCACAGUUUUGAUUUUCUUACAAAUCAGUCUUUUUACUCGCCCCAAGCAUCUAGGUUGGUGGAUUAUCCCACAAAAGAUUCAUCAAAAUGGUGAAUUCCAAUAAGGCAUUCCUGAAUUGGGCGUACUGUCGAAUCCACGUAAUACGCCACCCAAGCAUUUAAAAAAUAAUUCAUCAAUCUUUCCCUUUUUCUACCCUGGGCUUAAUUAACUAUUCACCAAACAGCAUAUCAGUACAGUCUACGCCAGGUGAGCUGUUAUAGUGACAUCCCUUUUUAUGCCCUAACAGGCUUCCCUGGUGGACUCCAUCUCUUCCAUAUUGUGUACAUGUUAGCCAUUGGAUUAUUCCAUUGCUAACUAUGUACCUUCUGCUUCUGAAGAAUCAAUAAACCCCUUUCGAGGUGUCACCCCCGUAGGACCUAAAUACGUUUACACGAUAUCACCUAGGAGGACCAGUAGAUAAUUGUUCCACGAUGCUGCCAAACUCCCUUGAAUCCCAUAACAAAGAACUCAUUCCUCCAUUAUGCCAAUUUUUCCUAUCUUUAUCUACCCAGUCAAAGUAACUUCCUUCAAACUCCACAUUUUAUAAAUAUACAUUUCACGUAAGUCAUUGUACAUAUUACUAUACAUACAACACACCAUUUAUCAAUACAUCAACACACAACCACAUUUCGCAUCCAGGAACAUACUUGCAAACAUCUACAUUUUCAAAACUUUUUGCAUGCAUGGCAUACUCAUUCACCGUGAUCACAGACAACCAUGGGAUUCAAAUUGAACUCAUAACAAACACACGAGCAGAACAUUUUAACAUAUCAACAACAACACCCAAGUGGAGUAUAAAAACUCACCUUAAAUCCUUCCUCCUCACCAGCUUAGCUUGUCCCAAUGCUAAAGCCUCCUUCAUCUUGGCAGCUAAGCACAACAACCAAAUAUAACGAUUAAGCCGAAAGUAUUCAAACUUUAAAAACCCAUAAUUCAAUAUCCUUCAGAAAUUUUCAGAUAUUUUAGAAAUUCUUACUCUCCUUUCUCAAAUCCAUGAAUACAGAAAGAUAAAAAGGUUAACCAGUCCCUCAAAUUUUCUAUUUCAUGACCCCAAACCUCACGACCACACCCCAUGCAGAGUUUUCCUCAACUUUCUAUUCUUCAGAACAACCGAAGAAGAUGGUGUAGAAGGAAACAAAACAGAAAUGAAGAGAAUUCUGCCAUCAGAAUAAACCUCUUCACUCAUAUAUAUAACCUUUCUUGCGCAUGGUUAACUACCCCAGAUAACCAUUCAUCGAUAAUCAUUUUGUCUCCCACUAAGGAACCAGUCGGUUCUAUCCUAAUUGAACCAGAAUUGAAAAUCAAAUAAUUACUAAUUAGCCACAAUAAUUUCUAAGUUUUCCUAUAGAGCCUGUUGACUUACUAUUUUAUUCAAUGAACACCCAAAUCCUUCCAAAUUUUGAACUUUUUGGAAAUCGAAUAUGACAAAAAUUUUAUUAAAAAGCGUAAAGCAUAUGUGAAAUUAUAUGAUUAUGGGAUAUGAUCAGAACCUAUAAAUGAGAUUAUUAAGAAAAAGAAAGAUUUUAUGUUCAUGUCUCAGUUUUUUAAAAUUUAUCUUGAUUUAUUAGCAAAACUGUUAAAAAUUAUUUCGAUUGCUAAUUCCAAAUUUGAUUGUAAAUUAUAACUUUACUGUCUAAAAAGAAUUAGGGACAGGAUAAAAUUGAAGAUUGAUUUGAAAUGUGAAGUUUAGUUUGAUUUUCAAAAAGAUCGGUUUGGAUUUGGUGUAGGUAAAAUUAUGAUUGGUUUAACUUUUCAUUUAUAAGUUAAGAGCUUACCAUUAGUCGAAUUCAACUUUAAUAAAAUAAAUAUUUUAAUUUUAAAUUAGCGAAAAGAUUUUAAAAAUAUUAUAGAAAAUAUCUACUUUUAAGCUUUUUUUUUUCUUUUUGAAGAUUUUUCAAUUUCAUUGUGAGGGAAUAGAUUUUCAAAAUCGGUAAAUUUUACUAUUAUCAUCUCAAUGAAUUCCAUAAUUUUUUAGGUUAAAAUAUGUUAUAAGUCAUAAAUUUGAAAUUUAAUUUUUGUACUUUUAUUUUUGGAAAUUUAGUCUUUUUAUCUUUUAAAUUUUAAAAUUCAAAUCUAAUUAUUAACGUUAUUAUUAUUUUUUUAAUUUGGGUCCUUUACUAUAUAUAAGGUUGGGAAAAAAAACUGUAUAAUUAGUAAAUUGAUUCCACAAAGAUUUGAAAACGAUACACCAACCAAAAUUUUUUAAACUGAAUUAUUUUAUAAAACAAAUUCUAUUAUACAGAAAUAAAUGGAUCUCUCUCCAUUGCUAAAACUAAAAACUCUCGAAUCCUUUUAUUGUUUUUUUGAACACCUCUCAUUAUUCUCUCUGUCGAAACCAUUUUUGAAAAGGGGAAUCGACUUUUAAAAAAUGAAAAUGGGAGUCGCCACCGAUCUUUUAUUGUGGUGUGAUCGGAUCACCUUGAAAAUAAUUUUAGGUCUGCGAAUUUUUGAGAAAAAAACAGGUCCGGGAGUCGGUUACUCACGAGGAAGGGUUAGCACCCUCGUGACGCCCAAAAUUGGUACCGAAUUGAUUAUUUAAUAUCUUAAUGUCGAAAUUUUGAAAAUAUUUUAAAAUACGAUCCUUUUAUUUUGAAUAAAAUGAAUUGGAAGAUAAAGCUCAUUUAUUUUAAAGAAAUAAAUUGUUACACUCAGUAAGUUAGAGUGCAACAUUUCAAAUCCUCAAAAUUAAGCUUAUUCUUUGAUUUUUUUGAAACCUAUGCAUUUUGAGAAGGAUAUCCGAUUAUUUGGGUCAAAUGAGAAAAUCAAAACCCAGUAAGUUAGGGUUCGAUUUCACAAAAUUUCUAAAUAUCGAACAUUGCCUUUAUUUUAAAAUCCUCGUCUCGAGAAAAUAACAUGUCAUAUCCAAUACGUUGGACACAACGCGUCGAAUUCCCGAGAAUGGGUUUUUAUUGGAAAUUUGUAUGUGAAAUAUUCGAUUAUUUAGAUUCGACGAAGAAAAUUGGAACCCAAUACGUUAGGGCUCAAUUCUCUCGAGGAUUCCAAACUUCAAGCAUUUUCGAAAGUUUUUGAAUGAAAUAACUUUGAUACUUUUUAAUCUUUUGAAUGAAUAACGAAAUAACAUUGUACAUCGGGAAAAGCUAAUUUACAAACUAAAAUCCAUGCUAAUGAGUUACAAAGAAUCAAUAAAAUACAAAUAGACAAUGCAACAUAAGGGCAACAAACCUAUAUUAUACAUGAACUUAAAAUAAACUUGACAUAAAAAUGAUAAUAACAUUAUAGAACAAUAUUUUAAAACGAAUUCGUAACAACUAAUAUACAUUUAUUAAUUUCACAAAAAUAGUAUACAACAUAACCAUAUAAAUAUACCAUACACAUACAUAUAUAAAUUUCAUAAAUAAGUAAAUUCUUUUCUUUUUAAGGAAAAAUAAAUUACAUAUAAGUAAAAUCGAUUUAAAAUACAUACAUAAACAUAUUAAAAACUCUUGAAAUCCAUAAUCUUAAUAAUAUCUAAUAUCCUAGUAUUAACACAUAUCUUUAAAAUAAUUAAUAAUUUAUGCGUAUAUGAAGAAUAGUAUAUAAAAAUAUUAUUAUGAAAAAUUUGAAGCUAAAUGUAUAUAUAUACAUAUAUGAAUUUAAAUAUAUAUAUAUAUAUAAGCUAUACUAAGAUAAUAUAAAAUGUAUAUAAUAAAAUGUUUGUGAAAAUAAGCAAUAAUACAUAAAAACGUAAAAUAAUAUCAUAUAAUAAAAUAACCUAUGUAAUAAGAUUAAGUAAAAAACUAGUAAUAAUAAUAAUAAUAAUAAUAAUAUGAAAAGGCUAGAAGUAAAUAAUAAAUAAUAAAAAGAUACAGUAAGGUAAAUAUAUAUAUAAAAACUAAAAACUAAAAAAUAUUAUGUAAUGUAAAAUAUAAAAGGUAAUGCAAGACUAAUUUAUAUAAUAAUAAUGAUGAAUAAAUAAAUAACAAAUAAAAGGGAAAAUAAAAACUAAUAAUAAAUAAUCAUAAUAAUAAUAACGUCACAUUUAUUAAUUUAACAAUAAAACAAACAAAAUAACAAAAAAAAGGGCUAAAUUAGAUUUUAAAACAAAAUUCGGGGCCGAAUUUAUAAAUAAAUAAAAGGGAAGGACAGGGGACCGAAACAAAACGCGCUCAAAGCGCGAAGGACUUACUGGGAAAUAUUCCCGGCCCCGCACCGCAGCGUUUCAGCGCGGGUCAAAGUGAAGCAAAUGUAAAAUUUAUGGGCCAAAAUAAGAAUAAACAGUAGGGACCAGACCGCAUUAAGGCGCAAAAGUGGAGGACCUAGCGUGCAAAUAGACCAAACGCCCCAAAGUGCGCAGAUCCCUCCCUGGAUCGGGUCACCGUACGGGUCGCAACCAUUAAACGGCGCCGUUUUAGAUUCUACUUAAGACUAAGAUUAACCCAAAAAAACCCUAUCAUUUCAUUAACCAAAUCCUAAGCUAGGACUCUGCGCCGCUCGAUGCCUCCGCUUCCUGAACCCCGAUCCCCUCUCAACUCCGAUGAAGACGGAGAGAACGAGGAUACAGAUGUCAGGCUCGUCCCCCUCUCCCCUCUUUUCUUUUCUUUAUCUAUCUGCUCCUAUAUUGUAAUGGUAAACAAAAGGAAAGAAAAAUAGAAUCGGAAGACAGAAUGGGAAAAAAACCUUUCGUAUUGAUUUUUGUUACAGUAUCUCUCUUCCCCCAUUACAGAUUCAAUUUAAUGGCCUAUAUAGCCAAAAAAAAUACAAAAAUCGCCCCUAUUUGUUUUUUCUUUUUCUAUAUUUUUCUUUCGAUUUUUGCCUUUUUUUCUGCCUUCUCUGCUUUCUCUCGUGCGUGGUUUGUGUGUAGUUUCUGUCCUCUUUGUCUGCUUGCGUUCGGUGUGUGUUUUGCAGGUAUCCUACGAGGACGUGGCACGGCUCGGCUUGGCGCGGCGCAUGGACGGAGGUGUGUGGGCGUGGCUCGGCUCGGAGGCGGCUGAGGCUUCUGUGCGCAUAGAGGCUAAAGGCUAGGGUUUUGGGGUUUGAGGCAUAUUUUGGUCUAGGCUUAGGCUAGUUGGGUUAGGGGUUUGUUUAAUUUUGGGCUUAGUUUGUUAAGCAUUGGGCUGUAUUUUGUUGGUAAUCUGGACAUUAUUUUUUUGGACCAUUGUUUGUUUUAUCCGGUUUAUGGGCCGGGCAAAAAUGACCUACUACACUCUCAAAUUUAUUUUAUUCUCUAUCUAGAAUAUUUACAAGAUACGUAAUUAAUCUUUUAAUACUUUCAAGUAGUUUUCCCUAAUUUGGUGACAACUCUCCUUUGUUUUUUUUUCAAACAUUACUAAUCUCUAGAAAAUUAGGAUUGUGAUUUUUCUUGCGAUAGAGUAGGAAUUUUUUUAUGCAAGAUUUAGUUUUUUUAUUUAUUAAAUGAGUUUGAGAUAUUAAUUUUGUAUGAGAUUCCUAACAUCUUAACUGGGUAAUAAUUUUUAAAAGUUGAUUAAUACAAAUCAUUGGAAAAAAUUAAGAUUGAUUGUAUUUAUAGUCUUGAAUUUCUUUAAACAUUUAUUAGAAAUUUGUAAUGGGUGUAGAGGCCGUCGUUUCCACGUGAGAUGCCAAUAUGGCAAGUUAACGGACCACCUCAGCUUUCUAUUGCAUUUGUAAUGGUAAUGACUGAUUUGUUAUUUUUCGAAAGUUGAAUGACUGAAUUGAAACCUUUGUGAUUAUUUUAUCAGUUGCAUCAAAGCUGAGUACUAUUGGUGUAAUUUACCGUAGAUUUGAAUUUUUAAAGAUAAAAAUAUAUAUAUCUUUGUUUACUAACUACUAAACAUGAUAACGUAGGAUAUUUUAAGAUAAGAAAACUGUUAAUAACUAUUUAAUGAUAUGGAUCAAGAUUAUAUUUUAUAUAUAAAAAAAGGCAAGGAUUUGAUUUUUUUCUAAAUAAAAUAAAUAAAAUAUCUUCGCUUACUAAUGACUAAAGUUGAUGACGUAAGACAUAUUAAGAUGGGAAAAAUGUUUCGGAGCAUAUAAGGUGGAAUCUCAUUUGCAUAAAUCAUCAUUAAUUUAAUUUGAGUUGAUUAUUUAAUAUUUUUCAGUUAAAAAUAUAAAUUUAAUUUUAAUAAGGGUAAACUACACCCAUGGUCACUUUUGUUUACCUUAGGUUACAUUUCAGUCACUUAUGUUUGAAAUGUUACGUUUUAGUCACUUACGUUAUUGUGUUGUAACAUUUUAGUCACUGAGCCGUUAAUUGUCGUUAAUGGUGUAAUGGUAAGCUGACGUGGCCGCUAAAUUAUCAUUUCAAACAGAAAAUUUUAGGUUAAAUUAUACAAUUGGUCCCCAUAAUUUUUCGUUUUGAGCAAUUUAAUUCUUUUAUGUUCUUUUAACUUUCAUUAUUUUUCAUUCUCUUCUGCUUCUCCUUCUGUUUUCUUACCUUCUUUGUUUAUUUUAACAUACCAGGAAGUCGAAUUGGUAGUGAAGAAAGAAGCAUGGUAUGGGUUUAUGGGUUUUGGUUUUAGGCAAAUGAUGAUGUCGAUUUCCUACUUGUUUUUUCAUUGCCAAUUCGACUUCCUAAUAUGUUAAAAGAAAUGGGAAAGAUAUGAAAACAGAGGGAGAAACAAAAGAGAAUGGAAAAAAAGAGGAAAGUUUAAAGAACAUAAAAUAAAAAAUAAAUUACUUAAAAUGAAAAAAAUAUGGGGAUCAAUUGUAUAAUUUAACCUAAAAUUUUGUUUGAAAUGAUGAUUUAACGUGCCACGUCAGCUUACCGUUACACCAUUAACGACAAUUAAUGGCUUAGUGACUAAAAUGUUACAACAUGAUAACGUAAAUGACUAAAACGUAACAUUUCAAACAUAAGUGACUAAAACGUAACCUAAGGUAAACAAAAGUGACCAUGGGUGCAGUUUACCCUUUUAAUAAUUAGAUUUGAAAUUUUUAAAAUAAUUUUUUUAGUAACGAUUAAACGUAAUGAGUAGAAUAUAUUAUUAAGAUAAUAAAAAUGUCUAUUUAUUAAGGUUGUAAUUUUAAAUGAUUGGAUUUGAAUUUUUUAAUAAAAAAUAGAAAAUAUAUUUGUUUAAUCAACGUGAUGAUAUAGGAUAUAUUAAAUUCCAAUAUAGUUGGUCGCAAUUAUAUAUGUGUCCUACAUUUGGAUAAUCAUUGUUUUAUCAAAUCAAGUUUAGUGAAAGUAGUGAGUUUUAUUUUAUUAAUUUAAUUUAAUUUAAAAUUUUUACCAACCUAAUCUAAUAAAAUAAAAUUUGAAUUGAGUUGAAUAAAUUUUUUUGAGUUAAAUUAAAAGAAUUUAAAUAAGUCAAAUUAAAAUUUUGUUGACAAUUUAACUAAAUUUUAAAAUAGAGCACAUAAAUUUAAGACAUUUUGAAAACUUCUUUUAAGAAAAAAAAAUAGCAUAUAUAUAUAUAUUAAAGACUAUUUUAAAUUUUUUAUUUUUAUAUUUUAAACUUUGAAAAUUUGUAUAAUUUCUUUUGAAUUUUUAAAUAAAAAUCUGUAAGUUUUUUAUGUAUUUAUUUUAAUUUUUAUAAUUUUAAUAAAUAUUUUUGGAAAUUAUGGUUUUUUAUUGAAUUAUAUAUACAUUUAAAAAAAAUUAAUAUUAUAUAAUUUAUAUAACUAUGAUUGAUUGAAUUUAAUAAAAAAACAAAGGAUCGCUUAUUUCUGAAAUUGAAAAGGACCCCAAGGGUAUUCAUAACAAAGAAAAAUAUAUAUAUAAUGCCUAAACUUCAAAACCACAGAGUUUUGAUAUUUGGAUUACCAGAUAUUCAAGUUGUAAUAAUCAAACUCCAGUCGAUGUUGGAUAACUCGAACUAAUUAUUCAAGUUGAUCUAAUAACUCAAAUUGAUUAAUUUGAACUUUUUUUUUUUAAAUACUUACAAGUUGAAUUGAGUUAUACUCCUCCUUAAUAGCCAUUAUAAUUAAUGGAGUGCACUAAAAAAAAUGUUUGGUAUGAUGAAAAAUGAUAAUUGGUCAAAAUGUAAUUCCAAUGUUUGACAUGAAAAAAAAUUAAUUUACUUUCUUUGGAAUGUAACAUUCCAUGAGAAUUAUGUACUUUCUUACAAGUAAUACAAAGUGAUUCUCUUAAUAAUUAGUGGGAAAGAUAUAUGAAAUUCUUAGGACAAAAUUAAUUUUCCUUUUAUUUGUAUUUAGGAUAUUAAUUAACUUAUUCAACCUAAAAGAAAAAAGAACAAUGCAGUUGUUGCUUGUUUUCUCUUUUUUUUUUGAUCUUUACAACUUCGAUUCAUUGUUUCAAAAUAAAUUUGUUUUUAAUAUUAUUAGAUAAAUAUCUAUAUUUUACUUUGUUAUAAGUAAAUUUUGUUUUUUGGCACAGAAAACUUAGAAAACUUGUAGAAUUAAGUAUUUGUGUGAAAAAAGAAACAACAUUGGCAUCACCUAAUCUCAAAUUCAAAUUUUAAACUAAUUCAUUGUCCAAUUUUGUUAUCAAGAAAGAUACAUGACAUGCCACUAUAACAAAGCUUAUAUGAAAAUUUCUAUGCGUUAAAAAUGGAAAAUCUGAAACCUAAAUCAAACUACUAAUUUAAAAAUUAUUAUUAAGAUAAUUUCAAGUCAUCUAUGUAGUAAGGAAAAUUUAGAAAUCAUACAUCUUCACAAUCUUAGGCUUUUUUAAUGUGCCAUAUAAUUGAUUAGAUCAAAAUGAGAGAAAAGCAUAGAUUGUGAAUUAAUUCAAACAAUUGUUAAUAAUAAAGAUUAUUGAAAAAGAUUGAUUUUGCAUUGUACUAAACAUAUUCAUGUAAUUUUCUUAAAAUUCUAAUCGAUACUUUGGAAUAUAUACUAAAAGACACUUUCCCAACAUUCACAUUUUCACAGAGCAAUGAAAUUCUCAUGGAAAGCACCAAACAUCCUUUAAAUUGAAUCUAAUAGGGUGCCCAAUUUAUUGCUCCAAUUCCAGUGCGGCUGGGUCAUCGGGCAACGUAACUUUCAAACUUCAUAGUUUUAUGCUUUUUAAUGAUGUAAUUAUAUUUUGUACGUCGAACACAUAUAAAGAAUUAAGAAUUCUUGAAAUUACGAGGGCAUAUAGUUACUUUUUUUUACUAAACCAGAGCACACAAAUACUAUUAAACAUGAUGUCAUUAAUAAUAAAAAUUAAUAUUAUUUUAAAUAAAAAUAAAAUAUCUUUGUUAACCGGGGAUAAAUAUUAAAUUUAUACGUGAAUUUUGGUUCAAUGUGUAAUUUAAUACAUUAAUUUUGAUUUGGAACAAUUAUAUACAUAAAAUUUGAAUUGUGGUUUAUAUAUAUACAUGAAAGGUUAAUUUUGAUUCAAUUGUACAUAUUUAAAGAAAUGAAUACAUACAUUUAUUUUCAUAUUGAAUUAAUAUAAUUGUUUGUAUAUGCAAUAUAUGAAUAUAAAAUGAUGCUAAUUCGAUAAUGUUAUUAGUGAUUUGCGAAAAUUUAAUCAAAUUAAAAUUUUAUGUAUAAAAUUAUAUAAAAUUAAAAUUUAUAUAUGAUAUUAUUCAUUGUAUCAAAAUUUAUAUAUAAUUUUAAUAUUUAUGGAUGAAAUUUUAGGAAGCAGUUUACUGAAGAUUAAAGAAUGUUAAUAAUUAUUUAUUGAUAUUGAUUAAGGUUGUAUUUUACACGAAAGGUGUAAUCAUGCAUUGUAUUUUUCGAAUUAAUAGAAGCAAUGAAUCAAAUAAAAAACCUUUUAACGUGUUGCACGAAGUGGAAAACUAAAAAUUAAGAAUCUCAUUAUAUUUCGAGAAGAUAAAUUAAAGUUUUAAAUAUUAAUAUAUGAUAAGUUAGGUGAUUGAUUUAUUAUUAUUAUUAUUAUUAUUUAGAGUACGUUGAUUCAAAUGUGUUUAAGCGUGUGUUAUCUUUUCUUUAAGAAUUAAAAUUAGAUUAUGUUUUAUUUGGACAUUGACUCAUAUAUAAUAUAUAUUAUGUUUUUAAGUAAAUAAAAUUAGAGUUAGAAUUAAAUUAUCAUGAAUGAAAGAAUAUAUAAAAUAUGAUUUAAUUUAAGGUAUAAUAAAAGAAUGUAGAAUAAUCAAAAAUAUAUAUAUGUACAUGAAACAAAUAUUAAGUGUUAAAAUCUACAUAAAUGAAUGAUUAAUAUGUACAAAUUUAUCUAAAUUUAUAAUACUUUGAAGGCAAAAAAAUAAAAGUAAUGUCAAUACUAUAUGAAUAUAUAUAUAUAUAUAUAUAUUUACAAAUUGAAUCCGUAUGAUAAAUUAUGUAAAAUAUGAUAUAAAUUUAUAUAUAAUACAAACAAAAAAAUAA
rnacentral:lncRNA from 1 species